rnacentral:rRNA from 1 species
AGCUAAGUUCUUAAGGGCGCAUGGUGAAUGCCUUGGCACUAGAAGCCGAAGAAGGACGUAGGAGGCUGCGAUAAGCCUCGGGGAGCUGCCAACCGAGCUUUGAUCCGAGGAUGUCCGAAUGGGGAAACCCAGCACGAGUGAUGUCGUGUUACCCACUGCUGAAUAUAUAGGCUUUGGGAGGAAACGCGGGGAA